GUUGUAGGGCUGGCUCUGAAUUUGCUCU
rnacentral:piRNA from 1 species